rnacentral:tRNA from 1 species
GCAAUCGUAGCUUAAAGUAGAGCGGCACGUUAGCGCGACGUGAACACGAUGCAGGUUCGAUGCCUGCCGAUUGCA